rnacentral:misc_RNA from 1 species
AAGUCGUAACAAGGUCUCCGUUGGUGAACCAGCGGAGGGAUCAUUACAGAGUUGAAAAACUCCCUAACCCUUUGUUUAUAUACCUGUUCAGUUGCUUCGGCAGGCGGCCCCAGGGCGGGGCCUCCAGCCUGCUCACGCAGGUGCCUGCCGCUGGCGCAAAAAACUCUGUUAUAUGUUACCACUCUGAGUCUAAAAAAAAUGAAUCAAAACUUUCAACAACGGAUCUCUUGGUUCUGGCAUCGAUAACGCAGC